UACGUAGGGGGCUAGCGUUGUCCGGAAUCAUUGGGCGUAAAGAGCGUGUAGGCGGCCAGGUAGGUCUGCUGUGAAAACUCGAGGCUCAACCUCGAGACGUCGGCGGAAACCAUCUGGCUAGAGUCCGGAAGAGGAGAGUGGAAUUCCUGGUGUAGCGGUGAAAUGCGCAGAUAUCAGGAAGAACACCCGUGGCUAAGGCGGCUCUCUAGUACGGUACUGACGCUGAGACGCGAAAGCGUGGGGAGCGAACAGG
rnacentral:rRNA from 1 species